ACGCUGGCGGCAGGCCUAACACAUGCAAGUCGAGCGGUAGAGAGAAGCUUGCUUCUCUUGAGAGCGGCGGACGGGUGAGUAAUGCCUAGGAAUCUGCCUGGUAGUGGGGAUAACGUUCGGAAACGGACGCUAAUACCGCAUACGUCCUACGGGAGAAAGCAGGGGACCUUCGGGCCUUGCGCUAUCAGAUGAGCCUAGGUCGGAUUAGCUAGUUGGUGGGGUAAUGGCUCACCAAGGCGACGAUCCGUAACUGGUCUGAGAGGAUGAUCAGUCACACUGGAACUGAGACACGGUCCAGACUCCUACGGGAGGCAGCAGUGGGGAAUAUUGGACAAUGGGCGAAAGCCUGAUCCAGCCAUGCCGCGUGUGUGAAGAAGGUCUUCGGAUUGUAAAGCACUUUAAGUUGGGAGGAAGGGUUGUAGAUUAAUACUCUGCAAUUUUGACGUUACCGACAGAAUAAGCACCGGCUAACUCUGUGCCAGCAGCCGCGGUAAUACAGAGGGUGCAAGCGUUAAUCGGAAUUACUGGGCGUAAAGCGCGCGUAGGUGGUUAGUUAAGUUGGAUGUGAAAUCCCCGGGCUCAACCUGGGAACUGCAUUCAAAACUGACUGACUAGAGUAUGGUAGAGGGUGGUGGAAUUUCCUGUGUAGCGGUGAAAUGCGUAGAUAUAGGAAGGAACACCAGUGGCGAAGGCGACCACCUGGACUGAUACUGACACUGAGGUGCGAAAGCGUGGGGAGCAAAC
rnacentral:rRNA from 1 species